rnacentral:misc_RNA from 1 species
GAAAGAAGGAUCAAAGUAUAGUCCAAGGAUGCAUCUAUGUCUGCAAUUUGUUAUUCACAAUGGUAUAAUAUCUAUCAGUAGCUGGUUAAGAUGUAUUUCUUCCUCAAGAGCUCUGGAUGAUCCUUUUAACAAACCAUACAUCGAUGGAUUGGGAGAAACUAGUUGUGGUUUGGGAACUUUGGUUUCAUUACAUCCGUUUUGUUUUUCAUUAAUAGGGUCGUUUGGUCUGCGGAUUAAAUUGUCUCGGGAUUAUAGUAUGAGAAAGAAAAAUGCCAUUUACUUUGCUGCUAAA